UUCUGAGUGCUGGGAUUAAAGGCGUGUGCCACCACCGCCUGGCAAGAUAUUUAGUUCUUAAUAAUUGUUUUUGUCAAUCCAGUCCCUGCUCUUAUGAGCAAUAUUCACACAAAGCAACAAAAUACCCAGGCUCAGCACUCUUUGAUUUGCCUACUUAGGUAGGAGGGCACAUUUAUCAAGCAACUUUUCUGUAUUUCAAAACAUGAUUACAGUUUUUAAUUAUUUUAGGAAGUAUAGCCUGGUUAUCAAAUAGUUCUUUCACACACACACACAGAAUUUUCUCAUACCCAAACAAUUAAGAGACAGCUGUAAAACUUGGCAGUCAACACUGGUUCUGAACAUUUCAUUAACUUCUGUUAUUUAUGGGGAAGCUAGACCCAGCCUCCUGCGUGUGUUUAAUUACAGAGCACAGAAGGACUGACCUCAGAAAGCCUCCCCGUAAGAAGACAGUCCAGACCCACUCCCUGGAAGAGUGCUGGGCCUCAGGUACCACCGUCCCAUGUCCCCUGCCCCCUUCAGGAGCGCUGGCUUCUGUGAAAGGCAACAAAUCCUGGCAGAGGAGAGGCGUACCAGCUUCCUGCCCUCAGAGCUGGCUUUGUGAGUGGAGGGUGUUCUGAGACUCCUUGCAGCCAGACUGGUAUCUGUUCUGAGACUCAGUGCCACGCACCGGGCCUUCUCUCCAGCUUACCUUCUGGUAUUUCUAAGAAACCAGUGCCUUUUCUGAUGGCAGUGUGGCAGGUGUGUGCAGCUGGACCCCAAGCCUGAUGACACCCUCCUCAUUGUUGCUGGACACUUCUGUUCACAGUUGAUGGCUUAUAGUCAUCCCUUUCCUGGUUUCUGUGAUUGUGUUUUCUUGUUUGGUGGUAUAAAGGGCCUUUUCAUUUUGUAGUUUGUGGGAGCUUGCCUGGCUUGGGUGGGUGGAAGAGACACUCUGUCCCUGACCCACAGAAGGGAAGUUAGGAAGCCUCUGCCUGACCCCCAGGAGGGGCAGAGGAAAACAUCUAGGUGACACAGAUUGCCAGUCUUCUUCAAAGCAGGGGACGGCUUCUACAAGGCACAUGGAAGUUUAAACUGGAUGUUGACAUUUGAGUGUUCAUGUGCUUUACAUACUAACAGUUCACUGAGCUAGGCUCUGCCUUGGUUGCUAUUUUGUUAAUGUUUGACUUUCAUAAAAAAAGGUCAGGCAUGGUGGCACAGGUCUUUCAUCCCAGCACUAAGGAGGCAGAGACAGACAGAUCUCUGAGUUCAAAGACCAGUCUGGUUGGUCUGUGUAGUGAGUUCCCCAGGCAAGCCAGAGCUACAUAUUGGGACCACUCCCUGCCCCCAGCAAAGAAACAGCAACACAAAACCCUUAGAGACAAAAGUAAAAACCAUGCAGAUCUUCACUGAAAGUGUUUAGUUCUGUGUGUUAAGGGUACCACUGUUACCAUAAUGUUAGGGCUAAGAGCACACAUCCCAAAAUAUGAUUAACUGUUCCACCCACAGCGCACCGCUUUGGCGUGUUUUUAGCUGGUUAUCCUGAGAAUCUGCAGGAAUUUUCAUCUGAAAGGGAAAGAAAACUGUAUUAAUACCUGUGUCAGGCAGAGGAAUGUCGUGAAUGAUUUUACACCUGGAGAGGCCACAGAACCAGGCAACCCUACUCACCGCAUUUCCUGCCUCCUUCCCCAUCACAUGCUGUUACCCCUCCCCCAAACCCCUGCUCUCCACAGCUCAGGGUGCUGUAUGGGCUUCUGGUAUCCACUGUCUCGGUGGUCCUCCUAGUUCUCUGAGACUCUCGUGACUGUGCACGAUUAAGCUCCUCUUCACCUGUCUUACGUCAGUUUAGUUCACAGGCAAGAGCUAGGGAGGCAGAGGAAAGCCGUCUUCUGUCCCUACAUUCACACACUAGGUUCCGCUUCCGCACCCUGUUGCUUCCAUGUGGGAAUAGUCACAGUGAGUCUUCCAGCAUCUCUGCCAACAUGCUGUCUGUAAAAAAAAAUGAAUUCAGGGCCCAGUUCCAACGUCCCUAAUCAGGUAGCCCACUCCCAUCGAAGUCCAGCCUGCAUUGACUAAACUUGCUACACGCUGUUCAUUCUCAGUGCUGGUGGCUCUGCUUGCUCCUGAUCCUGAGAACUAGUUGGGACUCUAUAUCUUAAGGAGGCUUUGGGCUGGGUACCACUUUUCAAGACUGCCUAGAGUAGAAAUGGGAUGGAGUAAAGGUAGGGGCUAUCUUCAUCUUUUCUUAAAAGCUUCCUCCCUAUUAUUACCAAGAGUAAGUAACAUUAACUUCACGGGAGGGGGGAACAAAGAGAAGUCACUGUAUGUGUCUUGUUUUGAGAAGGGCUCUUACUAUGUAGUUCAGGCUGGCCCCAAAUUAUCAUCCCUUCUGCGUCAGCUUCCCAUGUGUGAGGAUUAAAGAUGUGUAUGGCCACUCUUGGCUGAAUCCCAGAGGUUUUCUGGCAGGGAAACUCCAUCAUGAGGAGGACAGCUCCCCUUCUUCCUUUGUGUGCUUGUUAGAGGAGCAAGCUUCACUCACGCUCUCCACUCCCCGCUCUCUCACCUUUCUCAGUGAGUAGGCAUCUUCUGGACACCAUUCUGGAAUCUUCUCACUCUCAGUUCUUCCCAGAAAGUCCUGUCCACCCCAGCACAGUGCUUAAUAAUGUAGUAUGGUGGACCUCCCAUGAAGGUCCACUUCUCCCCUGGACCAGCUGGCCCAUUUCAGCCCUGGCCCUCUGGCCACUUGCCUGUUUCUUCCUCUAGGUCUGGGCUGCCUUUCCUGAGCAGCUGCUGCCUUCACCCCUGGCUUCAGCAGCGAGAUCUGGCAGGCAGUUCUCACCUAGUCUGCAAGCAAGAACUGUCACACAUUCUGUUUGUAUAAACUGCUUCUUUGGGAUACAGAAAUGGGACAACGGACGAUGGUCAGAUGGAGCAGAAGGGCCAGCUCUGCUUAGAAAAAGGCCAGCAUCACCGAGGUGAAGUCUUCCGGGAAGUGUUUCCUCAGGGUCAGCAUGCAGAAGCUGUGUUCCAGACGUGGCCAGGAUUGGACCUCGUUCUGGCAGCCAAACUUGGCAAUGUAAGAGUCACCCAGGCGGUGAGGAUCGGCACUGGAGGAACCCAGAAGAUCGAGAGUGAGUCCCAGAUAAUUGGGCAUUGGAUUAUUUAUACUGCUGGAGUUUGGUUUUGCUUUGUUUGGACUGCACUGGCUCUUUCCUCUUGAAAAACAAGCUCCUUGGGGUUGGCUUCACAGCCAGUGGCUGGUGACUCAGCCUUGAGAAUGACUGACAUCUCUGACCAAGUCCCAACUGAGCCAACUUGGAAGGUGUUCCCAACUCUUGACUAGGGGACUGGCUUUGCACUGUUGCAUACUGUGAAGUCAGCUGUCAUGGACUGUGAUGUCGGCUGUGUUAGGCGUCCUUGAUGCUGUAAUACAUGUCAGUUAAUGCCAGAAGACCACCCACCAUUAGAUCACAGUACAACAUCAGGUGAACACAUUGCGCAAUGCCACCUACAUUCGAGGGGACCGGGAAAUGCAGCCAGUCUGUAGCUGGUUGGGCAGCCAUUCCUCAGAACCAAUUUAGCCCAUGGAGGGCGAGGCGCAGUUUGAUGGUGGAUAAUGAACAGGCUGUCCUCUCCGCCCGUCACCUUUGUGACCAGCUACUUAUGCUGGUUCAGAAAAAGAAAUUAUUUCCCAGGUUCGAGACGCUGUAGUCCAAAUGUACUUUGAAUAAAUAGUGAACGCUGGCA